CCUACGGGUGGCAGCAGUGAGGAAUAUUGGUCAAUGGACGAGAGUCUGAACCAGCCAAGUAGCGUGAAGGAUGACUGCCCUAUGGGUUGUAAACUUCUUUUAUAUGGGAAUAAAAUGUUCCACGUGUGGGAUUUUGUAUGUACCAUAUGAAUAAGGAUCGGCUAACUCCGUGCCAGCAGCCGCGGUAAUACGGAGGAUCCGAGCGUUAUCCGGAUUUAUUGGGUUUAAAGGGAGCGUAGGUGGAUUGUUAAGUCAGGUGUGAAAGUUUGGGGCUUAACCGUAAAAUUGCAGUUGAAACUGGCAGUCGUGAGUGCAGGAGAGGUGUGCGGAAUGCGUGGUGUAGCGGUGAAAUGCUUAGAUAUCACGAAGAACUCCGAUUGCGAAGGCAGCUCACUGGACCGCAACUGACACUGAGGCUCGAAAGUGUGGGUAUCAAACAGGAUUAGAUACCCGUGUAGUC
rnacentral:rRNA from 1 species